rnacentral:rRNA from 1 species
CAGUAAGAUCCUAUCAUUCUGAACACAUCCCAUCUUGUCUAUCUUUGGAAGCUAAGCAAACUCAGGCCUGGUUUAGUAAUGGGAUGGGAGACCAUCAGAGGAUCCUUGGAUUUUCAGA